CGUAGGGGGCAAGCGGUGUCCGGGUUUAUUGGGCGGAAAGGGCUCGUAGGCGGUUCGGUAAGUUGGGUGGUGAACCUCCAGGCUCAACCUGGAGACGCCACCCGAUACUGCUGUGACUAGAGUCCGGUAGGGGAGCGUGGAAUUCCUGGUGUAGCGGUGAAAUGCGCAGAUAUCAGGAGGAACACCAGCGGCGAAGGCGGCGCUCUGGGCCGGAACUGACGCUGAGGAGCGAAAGCGUGGGUAGCAAACAGG
rnacentral:rRNA from 1 species